GGAUUCAGAGACCCAUUUACACACUGCAUCCAUCUCCUGAUUACGCAGUAAUCUGAUUGCUGCUAAGCUGGAUAUACGGCCUCGAUGGAUGACAUCUGGGAAGACUAUACAAACCAAAAAUCCCAUAAUGUGUUGGGGGAGGAGCAGCAGACUGAAUGGAAAAGAGGACAUCAAGUUGAGGAGAGGUGGACCGGAAAAACACUUCCAUCUGCACCGCCUCAGAGAUGAGAUCGAAGACAAGCAGAGGAAGAACUAAGGGGAAGGAAACCCCAGUCAAGAAUAUAUUGUCUUGAUACCUACAUUUUUAUUUCAGUAAGUAUAGUAUGUCAUAAAAAUGUCACAACACAUGUCAAACUAUAGUGUGCCAUAAAAAAUAUCAAAACAAAUUCCAUUAAAAAACUGACAAAAACAUUGUACGUGUCAUAAAAAAACUGACAUAUUCUCUCUUUGUAUUUUACUUUUUCAUAGUUUGUGCCAGUUUUGGACCUCAAAGUUCGCUACACGGAUUGAAAUAAUAACCUCUAGUCUUCAGGCCAGUCUCCUCUGAUCCUGACCGAUUUGAUUUGAGUUGUUUAACCCCCGUUUCCAUGGGGAUUGUUUAGCAAGACCAAGGAACCACUUUAGAAAUUAGAAUAACAAUAGAUAUAAUGAAAUCUUUGACAAGUAGGAGGGCAGGAUUUGAUCCUACAGUUACACAUCCAUGAGAUGUUCUGGGAUGGAUUCUACAUUUUUAUGGCAUACUAUACUAUGACAUUGUUAAUGUCAUUUUUAUGGAAUACUAGACUAUGACGUACUUUUAUUUUAUUUUUUUACUUUACAUUUCUUUCGACACUUUUUUAUGGCAUGCUUUACAAUUACUUUUUCUCACAUUUUUAAUGACAUUAUUUUCGACAUUCACAUCACCUGGUAUAGAAAGACUUGUUUUAUUUAUUUACAUAACGUACUAUACUAUGAUACAUUUUAUGCCACAUUUUUUUAUAGCAUAUUAUACUUUGACUUUUUAUGACAUUUUAAAUUACAUAUUAUACUAUGCACUUACCAAUUAAUAAAUGAAAGAGCUGUCAGUAGUCCUGGUGGGAACACCGUUUUUUAUGGAGGGAGAUGUUACCACCCCUCCUUUCCACUAGGGGUCUGUGUCCUGUUUGCUGUCUCCUUUGUCUUUCAGGAAGGUGAUCGUCAGCUGAUGAGCCACACCUGAGCCUGGUGUUUUUCCAGCUUUAAAGUCUCUCCACACAAACAUUGACAGUCUCUUCCUUGGCUGCUCGUCCUUUGCUGACACGGCUGCUGUUUUGUUUGCACAACACAUUUUCACACAUCCACAAUUGCUGACAUCACUGAUUACUGACUAUCCAUGAUUGUUUAGCUUGACUCUUUUUUUACUCUUGCGAUUUACAAUACUUUAACAUUGUUUACUUUUUCUGACAAACUACCCUAUGACUUUCUUUUACUUUUUUGGACAUGCUAUAUUAUGACGUUUUUAAUUUUUUCAAACAUAAUAUCCUUGGACUUUUUUCUGGGACAAACUGUAAUAGGUUUUUUUUAUUUUACUUUUUUCAACAUACUCUACUUUGAUGUAUUUUGACUUUGUUAAAAAGACACACCACCUGAAUAUGGACCCCUCUCUUCCUUGGCUGCGCUUCCUUGGCUGACACGGCUGCUGUUUUGUUUUGUUUGCUCCACACAUGCUGAAAUUUCAGAUUACUGAU